GGGUUAGGUGUGCGAUGAUGCCAUCACAAUUUGGUGAGAAUGGGAAUCCAUUCCAAAAGGGCUUUAGAUGUUUGAAUCAGAAUGUUUGGAAGACAUCUGCAAAUCACUUUUCUGUUUGCCAGGCUUGGCUGUUUGCUGUGCUUAGGAUGCAUAAAAGACACAUUCACAUCGGAUGAGAGAUAGAAUAAAGAUCUGAGGAGGCUUUAUGCACCCGGUUGCCUUUAUCACAUCGUAGAGAGAAAACCUUUCGGAUGUGGUAGGUUCCACUAGUUGUAAGGAGAGUAGUCCCUCUAAAUGGGUGAUUUGAUUUGAGCACAUAAUUCUUUUUUGCAAUGCUACUCCUGACCACGCCAUCAAUUGGAUAGAUAGGGAAGUCAAAAGGGCUUUAGAUGUAAGUUUUCCUUUCUAAUCCUAUUAGUUAAAUGUAAAUGAUCAUGCUCUAUGAAAAUCAUUAAUCGUUACGCUUGACUUACCAGAGUCCAUACAUAUAGUUUAAUAGAAAGUCAUU